UGUAAAGUUCAAGCUCCGAUUUGUGAGGGCGAAACCGCGAAUGGCUCAUUAAAUCAGUCAUAAUCUACUUGAUUGUUUAAAGUUUCUAUAUGGAUAACUGUGGUAAUUCUAGAGCUAAUACAUGCGUGAAGGGGGCGACUCCGCGAGGAGAAGCUCUGCGUUUAUUAGGUAAAAGACCAAUGUUCAGCCGUAAGGUUGUAUCAUUUAAGGUGGUGACUCUGAGUAAAUAAUGGUUGCAAGACCAUGUUGCCGACCUGGCAUAUCAAACGGUUGUUGGCAACAGCAAACCGGCCAGGCGAAUCAAUCGAGUGUCUGCUCUAUCAACUGUGGAUGGUAGGGUAAUUGCCUACCAUGGUGGUGACGGGUAACGGGGAGUUAGGGCUCGACUCCGGAGAACAAGCCUGAGAAACGGCUAGUAGGACUAAGGUCUGCAGCAGGCGCGAAACUUACACAAUGCUAGAUUUCAUGAAAUAGCGAUGUAGUGAAGAAAAAUAACGAUGUGAUUGUAUUUAAACAUACUUUCACAAUUGGAAUGAGACGACUCUAAACCAGUCAGUCGAGUAACAAAUGGAGGGCAAGUCUGGUGCCAGCAGCCGCGGUAAUUCCAGCUCCAUUAGCAUACAUUAAAGUUGUUGCGGUUAAAAAGCUCGUAGUUGAAUUUUUAGCGGGCUCUUGUCGGGUGUGAGCCGUCAAGGGGCGCCCCUAACCGGGUGUCCUGGUUCACCACUCACUUGGAGCCCGUUGUUUCGUCACUUAAUCGAGUGCGAAGCGGGUCGGCGAGACGCUGUCUUCGGACGGUCACGACGACAUGUUUACCUUGAGAAAAUUAGAGUGCUCAGAGCAGGCAGUUGGGGUUUAACCACCUCUUUAUGCUUGAAUAAUGUUGCAUGGAAUAAUAGAAUACGGCCUCGGUUCUAUUCUGUUGGUCUUAUAGAACAACAAAUAAGUUGGUUUGGGCAUCAAAUGGCUCUCCCUUGCCGUGGUCCGGCCUGUGGUCUUGUUGUCUGGGGCCUAAAAAUCUCAGUACCUUACCCGGGUUGAAUCAUUAAGCGGCUUGGGUCGGAGUUAGCCCGCAAAUCAACUGAGGCAAUGGUUAAAAGAAAUAGUCGCGGCGGCAUCAGUACUGCAUCGUGAGAGGUGAAAUUCUUAGACCGAUGCAAGACUAACUGAAGCGAAAGCGUUUGCCGAGGAUAUUUUCAUUAAUCAAGAACGAAAGUUAGAGGUUCGAAGGCGAUCAGAUACCGCCCUAGUUCUAACCAUAAACGUUGCCAACUAGCAAUUGGAUUGCGAUUCCUUUAGUUGGAGCCUAAAAAACUCCAACCAUUAUGAUCCAUCCAGCGGCUCUCGUAGGGAAACCAAAGUGUUUGGGUUCCGGGGGAAGUAUGAUUGCAAAGUUGAAACUUAAAGGAAUUGACGGAAGGGCACCACCAGGAGUGGAGCCUGCGGCUUAAUUUGACUCAACACGGGGAAACUUACUAGAUUAGAACUCUGGAAUGAUUGACAGAUUGAUAGCUCUUUCUUGAUUCAGAGGAUGGUGGUGCAUGGCCGUUCUUGAUUCGUAUUCCGAAACGUCUGCUUAAUUGCGAUAACGAGUGAGACCUCAUCACGCAAACUAGUUGCUUGGUGCGCUGUGGGACGCAAAAGUUUGUCGUUGGUUCUCGGUGGGUUGGUGCAAACUGGCCCAUCUCCCAGCGAUGAAUGUCCUCUGCUCGCCAGUAGACUUCUCUGCGGAAUCAUGAAUAAAAAAUUCAGAGAGACGAGGCAAUAACAGGUCUGUGAUGCCCUUAGAUAUUCUAGGCCGCACGCGUGCUACAAUGGCGUGUGCAGAAAGCUUGUUCGAGUUUCGUCCGGGGACGGCUAAUUGUUUGGCAGGAGUGGGGGCAACUUCGCUCAGGUCGGCAGUCAAGUGGCCUCGGUAACGGGACGAGAGAAACCGUAGUCGAAAGAUUACGGCAAUCAUAAAUACACGCCGUGAUUUGGGAUUGGGGAUUGCAAUUGUUGCCCAUGAACGAGGAAUUCCCAGUAAGCGCGAUUCAUCAUAUCGCGCUGAUUACGUCCCUGCCCUUUGUACACACCGCCCGUCGCUACUACCGAUUGGAAGUUUUAGUGAGGCAUCUGGACUUGCUGGCCAAGGGGUGGGCAACUGCUCCAGGCUUGGCGGGGAAGUUUGUCGAACUCAAAUUUCUAGAGGAAGUAAAAGUCGUAACAAGGUUUCCGU
rnacentral:rRNA from 1 species